GACGAACGCUGGCGGCGUGCUUAACACAUGCAAGUCGAACGAAGUGGCGAACGGGUGAGUAACGCGCAAACAACCUGACAUUCAGAGGGGGACAACAGGUGGAAACGACUGCUAACAACGCAUCCUGAAGGAGGGGAUUGCGUCGGAGUCGCUAGUUGGGGGGGUAACGGCCCACCAAGGAGAGGAUCAGUAGCCGGUCUGAGAUGAUGAACGGCCACAUUGGGACUUAGACACGGCCCAGACUUCUACGGGAGGCAGCAGUGGGGGAUCUUCCGAAAUGGACGGAAGUCUGACGAAGCAACGCCGCGUGAGUGAUGACGGCCUUCGGGUUGUAAAGCUCGGUUAAUCGGGACGCGGUACCGGAAUAGAAAGCCACGGCUAACUACGUGCCAGCAGCCGCGGUAAUUC
rnacentral:rRNA from 1 species